rnacentral:rRNA from 1 species
CCUACGGGUGGCAGCAGUGGGGGAUAUUGGGCAAUGGGCGCAAGCCUGACCCAGCAACGCCGCGUGAAGGAAGAAGGCCCUCGGGUUGUAAACUUCUUUUGUCAGGGACGAAACAAAUGACGGUACCUGACGAAUACGCCAGGGCUAACUACGUGCCAGCAGCCGCGGUAAUACGUAGGUGGACAGCGUUAUCCGGAUUUACUGGGUGUAAAGGGCGUGUAGGCGGGAGAGCAAGUCAGAUGUGAAAUUCCAGGGCUCAACCCUGGAACUGCAUUUGAAACUGUGUUUCUGGAGUGAUGGAGAGGCAGGCGGAAUUCCGUGUGUAGCGGUGAAAUGCGUAGAUAUACGGAGGAACACCAGUGGCGAAGGCGGCCUGCUGGACAUUAACUGACGCUGAGGCGCGAAAGCGUGGGGAGCAAACAGGAUUAGAUACCCGUGUAGUC